UUGUGUUCCAUUGUGUUUAUCGCCCCCUAGUGGAGCUUUCUGGUACUUAGCACGAAAGCAGGAAGUAGAGUAGUCAUUCUGCACGCAGACAAGCAGCUAAAAACAGCGCUACGGUGCAGUUCUUUCAGUGCAGCUAUUUCUUGUCACGCUUCAGUCUCGGAAAACAUUUGUUUGUGGAUGCAAUGAGGGUGAUCGCAGAGGGGAAGACCCCAAAGAUCACCCAGCCAGAGGAAGGCGCCUUCCAGCCAGAGGAAGGCGCCACCUAUGAGGGGAUCCAGCAGACCCAAUCUGUGAGGGUGAUCUCACCAGAAAGUCGGAACAGAGGUCAGAGG